ensembl:lncRNA
GUAAACCCUCCCACAAGGCUCUGUAUCCCCAGAAGAAGAAAAUAUUAAUGUGUGCAUGCCAAGUGCUGGUGAAAUGCUUGUUGGAGUGCAAACCAAUUGGUGGUGCCAGAAACCCCGUGGUAAAGGAGAGGUGAAAAGCAAGAUUUAAUGAAUUUCUCAGAGCCCCGAAUUUUCUUUAAUUGACAUUUUCUCUAUGCUGACAGGUUUCUGAGGGCUCCUAUGACAAAUAACUUUUGUAUUAAGGAGUCUUUCAGAUAGAGGCAGAAUUGUAUUUUCACACCCCAGGUAGAAAGGAUGCAGACACCAGGUGGAAUUUGUAGUGCUCCCUUUCCUGCAUCCCCAGCUGCCACAGGCGUUUGAAGAUUUCAGAUGGGGAAAUAAAUGAAUGGAUUUCUCCAAACCUCAUUCCUUGCACAAUCCUUUCACUCUUCAGGGGUACCAAAAUGAGCUCAGCCCAAGGAGAGAAAGAAUCAGAAGAAAUGUAUAAAAGUCAUAAGCCCUUUUGGACUUCUGUAACAUCUGUGUAGUGAUCCUUCUCUUCUCAACAGAUGCUUGCGCCAAUUUGUGUGUGCAACAAAGGGAAUGAAAUGCAUACUUCAGCAAAAGGUUUGGUGUCCUACAACACAGAGCAUACUGCUGCUCAGAGGGCUGGCCUCAGAGACCUCAGGAAAGCCACUCAAACAGAAGCUCAUGGCUGAAAUAUGUGAAUUUCCAAAAAGCUGUGAUGUUGGCCUUCAUCAGGCAAACCAUGAUCAUACAGCGAGCAAUGCUGCCUGGGAAGCAGUGACCAAAAAGGAUCUGAGGUCCAACUGUUAAGUCCCAACACCCAAUGUGAUGCUAUGGACAAUGAAGCUGAUGGGGCAUUGUGUGUUUGACGUGGAAGAGUGCAGUGCGUCUGCAGCCCUCGCUUUUGUGAGCUCUCUGCCAGGCUUGGAACUGCCCCAGAUCUGAUGAUGAACCUGCAGAAGAGAGCAGGAGGUGGACAGAAGGUUUCCUUGAGGGCAUCUUGCUGAAUACAACAUAGCCAAAGCCUUUGAAGGAGUUGGCCUUGCAUGGCAUGUCAUCAGAUGGUGCUUUUAAUGAGUCAAGCCUCACUCUCCAGAGAUGGCUGGGAUGGGUUCUCCGUGUUCCUAGAGUCAUCAUCUAUGAUUGUGGAAUAAAGAGAAAGAUUUUUCAUGGAUGCAUCUUUCAUGUCCUAGGAAGAGAGUUUUCUCUCAGAACAGCAGACUGCUCUGGAUUGCACACAAAAUCUGAGAAAAUUUCUCAAGUUGGCAAGACCUCCUUUCUUCCUGGAGCCCUCAUUCCUCUUACUUCAAAGCCAGCCCUGCAACGUUAGAUGCAUCAAGAAGAGAACGUAAUUGGAGCUGCAGUUAGCAACAUGGCAGUCCCCAGAUGCAGGGCAUAUUUGCUGUGGAGAUGGCAUUUAAGGCAGGUUUUCAUUAUGUGGAAAGUGUGUAUCCAAGCCAUCCUGCAGGGUGGCGUGGUGCCUGUAUUUACAGUGCUGGCAGCUUUCAAUAGCAAUCUAUUUUUAAUGAAACCAAGCUGGAAUGUGGUGCCUGAACCCUUGAUUUAAGGCAGAUUUCUAAAGGGAAGAUUUACGCAAAUUUGCUUGAUUGGAACUUAAUUAUUGCAACAGUCAAGUUCAGCUCAAAUGAUCUUGCAGAGACAGCCACAGGAGUCAGAUAAUUCAUGUCAGAGAGAAGACAUCAAUUUGCAUUCCUUACAUUUCCAUUUGGAAGGUUUCCUAAUUCUGGAGUAAGCAGGAGGCAUUGCAAAGAAAGCGAAGGGCCAGCGGGACUGGUAGUGGGUUGAUCUGUUCCCCAAAGUCCUCCUGUGAAAGGCAUUGUGUAUGAGUUAUGGCAAAUCCAGUGUCACCAGGAAGGCAAAACACUGUAGACUCGUGCAUCCCAGCACUGCUGAAUGCUGCUGUGAAGCCAAAGGGAUGUUUGGGGGCCCAGGUGUGAAAGGUAAGACAGGUCUUGGUCCUGGUGAACGAGGGACUAUAAUUUGCAAGGUUUUAUUGAUCGUUUUUUUAAAUAGAUUUAUUCAAUUUUAGUUAUGGUGUGGGGAGCCAAAUUUAGGGAAUGGGAGAAGAGCAGAGCCAGCUCCAAGAGUCAAAAAAUGAUGGGCAUAUGCAAUGUUUUAAGUUGCCCUGUGUAACUGGGUUGCCUUUAGCAACUCAAGUUCAUUCUUUCCCAUUUAGUUGCUCUUCAGUGCUUAAAGCAUAAUAGGAAACAAGCUGUCUGGUAUGCCCUCAAAGACAUGAGUCCCUCACCCUCCUACGUAGGGCAUGCCAAUGUGGUAGUGCAGUUAUUUAUGUUAGGAAGGAGAUGCAGGUCUCUCUCACCUCCUUCUGCAUGUUUCAUGGUGGGCAUGAUCCUCUCACCCCUGCACCAUGACCAGUGGCCCCCGGUUCUCACUGGGUUGUGUACAUGAAACAUCACCUUUGGACAGGUUUAAUUGCCAGUGAGCAUCUUCAGAAAGCCUAGAGGAUAUGUUAGUCCUGAUGGGGGAAGUCUCUGGUUUGGAUUUUUGUCAGGGGCAAAAUUUGUCCCCAUUUGCACGUUCUGAAUUUGGACAUUAUUCCUUUUGGGUCUGAUGCAGAAGGGAGGUGUCAGGGAGCAAGGAGUAGGGAGAAUGGCAUCAGGUUGGGAAACCCAGUGAUGCCUUGGCAGGAUGCCUGCUCCCAGCUCGUCUCACACAGUUGGGAGUGAUUAAUGAGACAAAGUUCUCCUCCUUCCCCCACCACAACCCGCUGGGCUGUCCGGGUUGGCGGAGACUGUGGUUUGGGUUUCUCUUGUUCACUCGGCUAAAAUGCAGCUCCGGUGAUGAAGAGGGAGGCUCUUGCUGGAUACACUUCUGCUGUUCUCAGCAGUGUCUUCACCUCCUCAGCUUCUCCACUGCCUCAUGGGCUCCAAGUCUGGUUUCCCUGCCUUCAGCACCGUGUUGCACUUCAGAAAACAGAACAAAGAUAGGAAGGGUGCUCCAAAUACCUGGACGCUGAAAGCUACCUUUCUCUUUGAAGCUGGUUUGUUUUUCCAGCCUUUUCCAAUUUGCAAAUUGGUCAGCACGAUAGGAAUUUCUCUGAUCCUUUCCUUAGCCAAAGGGGGAAGAAGGACAUGCUAUCACUUCUCCUUCCAGAACUCAAAAAGGAAGAGACUUCUAACCAAUCUCUUGAACACUUGAGGCAGAAAUGACACCUCACAUCUGGGUGUUGAGGUUCCACUUGAUUGCAGACCACAGGCUGAGACCUGCUGAAACCUCUGACACCUCCUGUGAUGUAUUCUUCUUCCCUAAACUUCUUCUGUCACAUUCUGAACACAUGUGAAGCACUGGCUGCAUCUGGCUUUAAGAAGCUUAACAUCUCAACUGCAUGUUUGUACCUGUCAUGAGGUUGGAUAUUAGGAUAAAUUUCUUCUCAGAAAGAGUGGUCAGGCACUGGCACAGCUGCCCAGGGAGUGAGGGGGUCAUCAUCCCUGGAUGUGCUCGAGAACGGUGGAGAUGUGGCACUUGGGGAAUGACAGAGGGCAUGGUGGCGUUGGGUUGGAGUUGAACUUGAUGCUCUUCUCCAACCUUAAUGACUCUAUGAUUCUAUGGCCACCAUUUGGUUCAAAAGUCGAAUGCUCAAAACCGAGACUUAAGAUGGCCCAUAAACUCAGCUCUGGAAGGGACCAGCUCACUUAAUCAUAGAAUCAUAGAAUGGCCUGGGUUGAAAAGGACCACAAUGAUUAUCUGGUUUCAACCCCCUGCUAUGUGCAGGGUCACCAACCACCAGAGCAGGCUGCCCAGAUCCACAUCCAGCCUGGCCUUGAACGCCUCCAGGGAUGGGGCAUCCACAACCUCCUUAAUCAAGAUGUAGGAAUCCUUCCAUGGAGACUCAAAUUCUGCUAUAGUCUUCCUUCAUGAUGCUGGGCAAGUCAACCCAAACUUUACCAAGAGAGCCACAAAUUCUUGCUUUCAGUGAAUGUGGCUUGAGAUGCUGAGAUCUAAUCCAGCACGGAGCUGAGCAGUUAACAACAUCUGGGCUUUUCUGGGAGAUAAUGUGGAAUAUAAUCAGUGCUAGCUCUCCUGUAGUUUCUUAGAAUUGACAAGUGGGUUGAAAACAAGCUGGAAGAUAAAUGUGUGAAUGGAUGAAGCACUCCAUGGAGAACAAACUACAUUCUACAAUUCCUAAGGAGAUCUGGAUAAGAAUAAAUAAUGGAAGAAAGAUGGCCUGCAUAGUCCGAGAGCAGAGGAAAACCUGACUGUCCCCCAGCUGUGGCAUGGCCAGCUCUCCCAUGCUCUCCAUGGAGGGGCACCACAUCCAACGCUGGACAUCACAUCCAGGAGAGCAUCUCGAUCCCGCUCCCAUCUGCACCCCGUGGUGCAAGUGGCUCUUUGAGGCAGCAGAUCUCAGCAUCCAGAGUUGGAGACAACAAGACCUGAUUUUGCACUCAAGACAAAGCCUUCAAGUCAGGGCAGCUGCUUCAUCCGAAAUCUUUAAUGCAAAGCAGAGCUUUGGGACAGAUCCGUGCCUGGGGCCGAGCGAUGCAUCUUGCUAGCAGACAGAGCCGCUGCGGGCUGGGCCCUCUUGCUGAAGGCUCAUUUAAUUUGAAACUUGCUGCUCUGUCAGGGCCUAGAGCCACCAAUCCCCUGGGCACAGUGAGAUCCAUCUGUUUACCAAGCUCUGCACGUCCAGGGCAUGACAAGGAACUUGGCCGGGCCGGGCCGAGCGGGCUGGUUUGAAUCUUGCCUCUUUCUUGUGGGAUCGUGUCGGGGGAGAAGUGAAUCCAGAGAUGGGCUUUGAUGCUGGCACUUGCUGGCAGCAUGCUGCAAAUGUGGACGGGUGGUUCCCGCGCUGCAAAUGUGCUGUGGGCAUGGGCAGCGGGCACAGCGACACUCAGAUAAAUUAAAUAUUUCUCAGGAAUGGGGUGGGGACGUCAACAGAACCUCUGCCUUAUGCAACUGCCGCCAGCACUACAACAGAUUCAAAGCAGCUGCUGUUGGCUUUCCCUCUUUGCUUUCAUAAAGUGGUUGUUUGUGUGCUGGAUCCUGAUGGAUGAGGCGGUGGGGGAGGGAGAAAGGGACGUGUGUGAGGGAAGCACGAGGGUGGCUGGGUGAAGGGAUAGUGCCCACAUCUGCUGUUGUUGGCCAGGAAUUGAUGGACAGCUUGAAGCUCGGCCAACCCUAAAGGAAGAGCAGUCCUCUUGUGAGCCCAUGCAAGGACAGAGAGCUGAGGAAGUCCAUGGAGGGCCGUAAACAGGGAGUGGUAGUACUGAGCCAAAAGGAUAUUCCUGGAAACACCAACUGGAGAAAGAUGUUUCCAUUGAUGCCAGACAAGAUGCAGCUCCUAGUUGCUGAGGCACAGGAUGAGUGCAGUGAGAUCUUUGACUCAAAUAGAAGGAGAAGGAUGAUAUUGUUGGGGUAUCGAGAAGUUUUAAACUGAGACAGGGGAGGUUUAGGUUGGAUAUUAGGAAGAAGUUUUUCACCCAGAGGGUGGUGAAGCACUGGAACAGGUUGCCCAAGGAGGGUGGAUGCCCCAUCCCUGGAGGCAUUCAAGGCUAGGCUGGAUGUGGCUCUGGGCAGCCUGGUCUGGUGGUUGGCGACCCUGCACAUAGCAGGGGGGUUGAAACUAGAUGGUCAUUGUGAUCCUUUUCAACCCAGGCUAUUCUGUGAUUCUGUGAUUCUAAGUAGAAUCACAGACUCAUAGAAUAUCCCAGGUUGGAAGAGGUCCAUAAGGACCACUAAGUCCAGCUCCUGGCUCCGCAUAGGAUCACCCAAAUUCCAAACACUAUGGCUGAGUCCAUUGUCCAAACUCUCCUUGAACUCCAGCAGCUUAGGGCCAUGACCACGGCCCUGGGGAGCCUGUUCCAUGCCCACUACCCUGUAAAUAAUAAAUAAAUAAAAGAAGGGCAAGAAGUAGGAGAAGUGGUAAGUUCCUGCCAGUGGCUAUGGCUCUGUGUCUGUGCCUUGCAGGGUAGCCCAGGUUGAAUUUUCUAUCUCAUCUCAGAAACAAGAUCUCCAGCAUGCAGCACUGUAGCAACAGCCUGGACUAAAAAUUUAAAACCCAAGCAUGGAGGAAUGGACACUACCCAUUCAGGCCCUUUCCCAACCCAGAUAUGCUUGCCUUCAGCCACAUAUUGUUGCCUUUUUUUCCUUUUUUUUUUUCAGCCCCGGUAUUCACCAGCUUCUUUCUAUUCAAAUAACACUGAAACACGCUCAUAUGAGGGUGAGCAUGUCUUUACAUAUAACUAGUAUUUCAGCAAAACCCCAGGAGCAAUCAAAUCAUCACUCAAAUAGAGACACUCCAGCCAGAUAUCCACAAAGAAGUCUUUUCCAUCAUUCCAGGAAAUCAUCCCUCAGCUGUCUCCAGUAAUCCUAUUGUGAAUAGAUGUCUUUUGCCACUUUCCCAGAAUGUCCACAAAUGCAGGGGGUUUUGGAUCCAGGGAGGACAGCACAGGAAAACCAAGAUUUAAUGCCUCAAUGGAGGCAAAGAAAUUGCCCUGCCAGCCAUCUCUCUAUGCAUACUGAGGUGGAAUGAGACCCAGCCCUACCAAAGAGGCAGAGAAGUAAUUUUACUGAGCUUCUUCAGGCCUCAACUAGCCUUUAAACACAUAAUUGGUGCAGUUUAAGUGUUGCUUGGUUUGACAGAGGCCUUCGGAAUCACAUUCAUGAUGGGACUCGGAGAAAGGGUGUUAGCCAAAGGCUGCAAAGGGGUUUGAGUAUUCAUAUCCUUUGCAUUCAUUUCAAGUCCAGCUCUUCCAUUGCACUGGGUAAGGAACUGACCGUGGAAUGUCUGCAGUGGAGAACACCUCCCAGCACAACAGCUCUCCAUUUCUAGAGGCCGGGCUUUAUCUGCUCAUGGUUGCUUUGUAUUUUGCUCUUUGAGGUGGUAGCCACAUGCAUAAGGUCUCCUGGUUUUGCUUGUUUCUCUGAGCAACGAGCUCAUUGCAGAGCUGUGUAUGCUAAAAAAAAGGAGCCUACAUGGCCAUGGUUUCAUUUUACUCUUUGAGCUUCCCUGGUGGGAAGAUAAAAAUGAGGAAGAGUUUGCUCUGUGUGUUGGGUUUCUUACCAUUCUGAUAUUUGCUUCAGAUCUUUUUCCAUUAGAAAAGCUUUGCACAGGGAGCUAGGGCCCACCAAGAGCUCAGACCUCACCCACACAUCUAAGACAUCCUUCCUACCUUCAAUCCAGUGACCAUUUUCUUAGGAGUGGCAGGAAAUAAGCCCAGGAGGACACUGCUCACUGCAGCCCUCUUGCACCUGGGGUCAGGAUGUGGAACCAGACAGAGACUUCUUGCACGAACUCAUUGAACCUCUGAAUCAUUGCCCUUGUCCUCAAUGGACUUCCUCAGCAAAGGAAGGUCCAGAUAUGGGUCUGUUUCAGGGGUGGACACUGCAUGCUGAGGGCUUAGGUCACCAGGUCUACUUAGUCUACCUAGAUUUGCAGUGAUAAACAUGGUGGACAGUGGGAAUCUUCUCCUUGCCCUACCUCUUCCAGGGAGAAACUUUCCCAUUUGUUUGUCUGUCAGUUUCUCCCCACUGACAAGAGAUGCUGGCAGUGUGUCCCAUCCCCAUAACAUACUUAUCCUGGAGCUUUUUCUUUCCUGAGGACAGAACAUGGGGUAGGUCUGAGCCUCUCCAAGUACAUUAGAAGUAUUCUGCGAAGAGGUACAAGCUGAAGCCUUUCUCCCUCUGCAUUUUCCCUUCUGAUUAUUAAGUUCAGGAUUAGCAUUUUGGAUUAUGAUUAUAUUUAUUGCAGUUUCACUCUUGUCUUAGUUCUGCUUUCACAUUAAAGUGUGUUACAUACAUCCAAAUUCCCAUGUGCUGGUCAGCUCAAGGGUUGUAGGGUUGAAACCUGUUCUGUAAAGCAGCUGCUCAAGAGCUCCUAAGUGGGAAGUGUGACUUUCCUUGGCCAUUGUUCUGUCCCCCUUUUGUUCAGCAUCUCUUCCCUUUAUGUCGGUAGAAGCAUUGGUUGAGAACUGCUGCAAGGGGAGGCUCUGGGCUGCCUUAAUGCAGAGAGCAGGCUGAAAGGCUGUGCAGGAGGCAAGGCAGCUCUGCCCACUUUAUCUGGGCACUGAAGGGCUUGGAAUAAAACACAGAGAUGAAAGGGUGUUUCAAAUAAGAACCUAUUGUACCUUCUCCCUUGCAAUCAUUUUCCAGGGCCUUUGAAGGUAACUUAGUUGCUGUCUUGAUCAAAUAUUCCUCAAGCAGAAAUAAACCCUUCCUAUUAACAUCCAAGGUCUUACCUUGUUUACUCAUAACACUCCUACUCAAGUGUGGAACGCUGAGUGUGAAUCAGUUCGAUUUUCUUUUUUUUUCCAUUGCAGCAUUUCUAUUUCUGAUACAUCACUUUCCAAACCGGAGUGUAAUUUUUUUUUUACCAAACCAAACCCCAAACACUGGAAGAUAUUUGAAUCACAGAACCAUAGAAUCAUUAAGGCUAGAAAAGACCUCUAAGAUCAACAAGUCCAGCCGUCCACUAUCACCAGUAUUGCUCACUAAACCAUGUCCCAGAGAACCCCUUUGCUCUGAACACACAGUGUAGGUCUAAGAGCACACCAGCUCCAUGGCACUGGAGAAAUCACCUAGAAGGCCAGUGCUGCAAUUUGUAACACGGAUACAUAGCAGACAUUUAAGGAGGUUUAUCCAUCAGAAAAGGGCCAGCAUGGAGAGAUAUCUCUCUCCUUAUCACCUAAUGGACAGCUCUGGGACCGCCUGUAACAGCUCUUGUGCCCAUGAUGUGGUCCUUGUGCAAGACAGUGUGUUUGUGGGACCAUUGGUGCAGAGAAAGGGAGACAAAGCCAGCCACAUCAAAGCUCAGAGAGGAAAGGUGCAAAGUGUGCUCCUGGAGGGAGCAGCUCAGCAUCCCCUCUGCUGUUGACCCCAUUACUUGUGGAGAACCUGAUGCCACUUCUCAUCUUGGGUGUCUUUCUGAUGGAAAAGGAAGCUUAAGCCCGUGGUCACAGAGGAUGUGAGGAGAGAUCAAGGGUCAGGACAGCUGAGAACAGUGUGGAGUCUUAAAAUGAUGUUAAAAGCAUGAGGAAAAAAAAAAACAAAACACACACACACAAAAAAACCAACUUAACUAUUAUAUUGAGCCAUUACCAGAUAAUUGAAAUGGAAAACAGCGCCGAUAAUAAUGAAGGCAGAAAAGUUCCAUAAAUAUUUCUGCUCUGAACUUGGGAAUAGCUAGAUAAUGCAAUCACGGAUUACACCUAGAUGGUGAAAUGCUUUCCAUUCCAACAGUAACCCCCUAAUGGGGGCUCGGGCAGCUAUUAAUUCCUGACACGACUGCAUCUGGAUAACUGCACCCAAGAGUUUUAAAAGGGCCACCAGAGGAGGUCUCUGGAAUAUUAAUGAUGUUUUUUCUUUCCAGUUGUUUUGGGUGGUUCUGGAAGACGAGAGCCCGGCUAACCUCAUAACUGUGUUUUUCAUAAGUCAACUGGCAAUGUUUAAGAAUCUUGAAUUUGCAAAGUGCCGUGAAUGGGAACUCUUCCUUUACUUCAUGAGCCUCAGCAGGUGACAGCGGGAGAGGGCUACACCCUCUUGUGUAACAGACAUCUGUAAAUGCUCUCAAGAACAUUUUCACUGUGACUUCCUCCCUUUGAUUCUUUUUCCUAUUGUACGCAGCGUUGGAAUUACAGGCUUAAAUCUAAUCAUGGAAUUAAGAAAGCAGUUAUCUUAAUUAAGAGUUGAUGACAAAUCGACAUACAGCCUCAUAGGACCUUCCUUCGCGUUGCCAGCGAAGGCUGGCAUGAGGAGAUGCUCACAGUGACGCACUCAUUUAGCAGCCUUAUUCUGUGAGAGGACGUCUAUUCCGGUUAAUAUAACAAAAGAAAGUUCAUUUUACUCUUGGGAGAAGGUAGGACUUUACACAAAGAGCUGAAAGGCAAGUGUCUUCACUCACAGUCUCGACCAGGCUGCUAAAUGGAAGAAAUGUUGUCAAAAUAUAGUCGUACUAAAAGGUGACGAAAGGAAGAGUUUGGGAACCACAGAUGUUUCUGUCACUCGCUGUGUCUCCAAACCACAUGGAGAGAUUGUUUCAGUACUCCAAAGUCAGGGCAUGCAUCUCCUGUACUCCUUGCCAGUGGUUAGCUUAGCAGCUUUUUUUUCCCCUUCCCAUUAUUUUUUUCAGUAUGGUUGCUCAGCUGCUUAAAUGUCUGCAUCUACCACUGAAAAUUCACCUGCGCCAUCCCAGUCUUCCAGCACAACUGUUGGCUUG